rnacentral:sRNA from 1 species
AUGUACCACUCGUACACUGCGGCUCCUGUGCGCCGUCCGCACCCACCUGACGACUGCUCGCGACAUUUUGUUAGCC